AGAGAGAGAGAGAGAGAGAAUGGGGGUGAGGGGAUGAUGGAGGUUGCUGAAAAUUUAAAAGGAAAUUAACUUCUCAAAUGUAAUAUAGGAAAAAUCCUAAGUUUAACUGAUUUGCCACUUUCAAGCAAUAAAAUAAUGAAGGACUAUGCAUCCCAAAUGGUACUUCAAAACUUGACAUCACAUGAACUUCAGAAGAGCAUAUGUUAAAAACCAACAAAAUGAAAACUUGGAAAACUAAUUGCUUGUCGCUAUAAACUUAUAUACAACUGCAUCAAUGGCAAUAUGUCAAAGCAAACAAAAAGAAUAACUGGCUAGAGGAUGUGUGCGAUCGUCAACUCAGACUCAAGGUCCAAAAGAAUGUUUCCCAGCUUGCAAGAAGUUUAUAAAUAAUAACCUUAUCAACUGCAUAAAGGAUGGAGUUUGAAGCAAAAAAGAACAGCUGGGACACUGGAAACAUAAUAUAUGGUUGAUCCAAAAACACAUUUAAGCACAAAGUUUAUCAAUUUAAACAACUAUUUGUCAGUAAUACACACAAUCUUACUGUUCUUCCCAAUGCACGUUUUCUAAGAAUUUGCUCCAAUUAGUAAUUUUUAAAGAUAUCAUCUAAUUCAAAUAGGACAAUUUCAUAAUCAUUUCAAGAAAUACUAGUUCUUAUUCAAAAGUAAAGCUAAGGUUUUGUUUAAAAUAGUUGAAUGAAUAACAAAAUUUCAAGGCAUUCAAUUAGAAAGUGCAACAACAUAUAGAAAAUCAAUUAUAUGGUAUAGGUUGAUCAUUU
rnacentral:misc_RNA from 1 species